AAGAAUUUAGUUUAGUAAAAUAUUAGAUUGUAAAUCUAAAGUGUUAAUUCUUA
rnacentral:tRNA from 1 species